rnacentral:rRNA from 1 species
GACGAACGCUGGCGGCGUGCUUAACACAUGCAAGUCGAACGGAAAGGCCCUGCUUUUGUGGGGUGCUCGAGUGGCGAACGGGUGAGUAACACGUGAGUAACCUGCCCUUGACUUUGGGAUAACUUCAGGAAACUGGGGCUAAUACCGGAUAGGAGCUCCUGCUGCAUGGUGGGGGUUGGAAAGUUUCGGCGGUUGGGGAUGGACUCGCGGCUUAUCAGCUUGUUGGUGGGGUAGUGGCUUACCAAGGCUUUGACGGGUAGCCGGCCUGAGAGGGUGACCGGCCACAUUGGGACUGCGAGACGGCCCAGACUCCUACGGGAGGCAGCAGUGGGGAAUAUUGCACAAUGGGCGGAAGCCUGAUGCAGCAACGCCGCGUGCGGGAUGCCGGCCUUCGGGUUGUAAACCGCUUUCGCCUGUGACGAAGCGUGAGUGACGGUAAUGGGUAAAGAAGCACCGGCUAACUACGUG